GAUGAACGCUGGCGGCGUGCCUAAUACAUGCAAGUCGAGCGAACAGACGAGGAGCUUGCUCCUCUGACGUUAGCGGCGGACGGGUGAGUAACACGUGGAUAACCUACCUAUAAGACUGGGAUAACUUCGGGAAACCGGAGCUAAUACCGGAUAAUAUAUUGAACCGCAUGGUUCAAUAGUGAAAGACGGUUUUGCUGUCACUUAUAGAUGGAUCCGCGCCGCAUUAGCUAGUUGGUAAGGUAACGGCUUACCAAGGCAACGAUGCGUAGCCGACCUGAGAGGGGGAUCGGCCCAAAUGGAAAUGAGACACGGUCCCGACCCCUACGGGAGGCAGCAGUAGGGAAUCUUCCGCAAUGGGCGAAAGCCUGACGGAGCAACGCCGCGUGAAUGAUGAAGGUCUUCGGAUACUAAAAACCUGUUAUUAGGGAAAAACAAAUGUGUAAGUAACUAUGCACGUCUUGACGGUAACUAAUCAGAAAACCACGGGUAACUACGUG
rnacentral:rRNA from 1 species